AAUGUCAUCAAAAGGGGCUGUUGUAUGAUAUUUUUGCAUUCAUUAAGUAUCACAGCCAGCUUUGAUGAGCAUUG
rfam:Glossina morsitans morsitans, isolate Yale, WGS project CCAG01000000 data, contig: ctg10008890